rnacentral:rRNA from 1 species
GACGAACGCUGGCGGCGUGCUUAACACAUGCAAGUCGAGCGGAAAGGCCCUUUCGGGGGUACUCGAGCGGCGAACGGGUGAGUAACACGUGAGUAAUCUGCCUUGGCUUUGGGAUAACCACCGGAAACGGUGGCUAAUACCGGAUAUGACGGGCUCCGGCAUCGGGGUUCGUGGAAAGUUUUUUCGGCCAGGGAUGUGCUCGCGGCCUAUCAGCUUGUUGGUGGGGUAAUGGCCUGCCAAAGGCUUCGACGGGUAGCCGGCCUGAGAGGGUGACCGGCCACACUGGGACUGAGACACGGCCCAGACUCCUACGGGAGGCAGCAGUGGGGAAUAUUGGGACAAAUGGGCGAAGCCUGAUCCAGCAACGCCGCGUGAGGGAUGACGGCCUUCGGGUUGUAAACCGUACUUUC